AGAGGGUGCAAGCGUUAAUCGGAAUUACUGGGCGUAAAGCGCGCGUAGGUGGUUAGUUAAGUUGGAUGUGAAAUCCCCGGGCUCAACCUGGGAACUGCAUUCAAAACUGACUGACUAGAGUAUGGUAGAGGGUGGUGGAAUUUCCUGUGUAGCGGUGAAAUGCGUAGAUAUAGGAAGGAACACCAGUGGCGAAGGCGACCACCUGGACUGAUACUGACACUGAGGUGCGAAAGCGUGGGGAGCAAAC
rnacentral:rRNA from 1 species